rnacentral:tRNA from 1 species
ACUCUUUUAUUAUAAUAAGUAUAUUUGACUUCCAAUCAAAAGGCCUCAUAGAGAAAGAGUA